GUCUUUUAUAUCCCCAUCAAUUACUUCUCAUUCUUCUUUUUUUUAUUCUACUAAACGCAGAAGAAAAUACACAACUAUUUACUUUUAUCUCUCAUAUCACGAUGCUAAACUCAAAAUCACUUUCCUCAUCUUUUGAAACCUAAUUGCAUAGAUUCUCUUUCCUCCUCUCCCUUGAGCUGAAGAACAUGAAGAAAUCAGAAGUGCAGAAGCUAGUUUGAUUUCAAUUUUUCAAUUUACUCUUGUCUUCUUCUAUUAAUACUCAUGAACCUCUCUUAUUUUUCCUUUUCACUAUAAAUCGCGAACUAUAGCCAAAUCGAAAUCGAAGAAGAAAGGGAAGCUUCUUAGUCAACCGACUCCACAAGAACUCGUCAUCAGAGACCAUACACCUUCGUCAAGAGUUGUAGAUCUAUAUAUCUAUAAUAGCAGUGUAUAUGAAAGCUCGCCGUGUCCAAGCAAUUCCAAUCCUCCACCACAAGAUCUAUUGUCAAACCCACUAACCCAAGUGUGUCCAUGCUCUGAUUGGUGUCGUGAAUACCAAACCUUGUGAUUAAAAGGAAACAGCUACGAGCAUUGUUUCCAAAGUGGGUCCAUGGAAGAACCUUGAGCUUAUACUUCUGUUGCAGAGUAAUUAAUUAAGCGGCAAAGAGUGACUUGUUAGUCAUGUAAUUUCUUUGCUUAUACUUCAAAUGUCCCUUUUAUUUCGUUAAAAGUUUGUGACUUUGAAGAAAAUUUGAAAAAAAAGUAGCAGAAUUUAGUUUAAA